rnacentral:misc_RNA from 1 species
AAUUGAAAAAAAAAAAAAAAACAAACCUUAAAAUAUCUUAAAUAACCUAAUAUAAAAGCCUAUCCAUCUUCCCCAUCCACCCCAACCCAACCAUUUCCGAUCCUCUGGGUUAAUUUUCGAUUUCAUCUCCUUUUCUAUCGAUUUGUUCCUUUCUUGGCUCCUUCCUUACCUAGCCCUUUGCCUCCCUUUCCUCUUUCUCAAUUUGGUUCGAAAGUGAGGAACGAAGGUGAAUCCUUCUCUGCUUUUUCCAUGAACCAGAAAUUAAAAAAGAUAUAAAUUUCAAUUAAAAAAAUGUCUUGCUUGUGCGGGUUUGUGAAUUAGAUUUGUUGUUUGUAUGGUUUUGUCAAUUAGAAUUGUUUAUUUGGGAAGUUUGAGAGAGAGAUGUACGGAGAUGGUGAGAGAGGUAGAGAAGAGAUAAAUUGGGUUUCAAGAAACCACCCAACUAAUCAUGCGAUGGACCACCAGAUCAUAGGUUGCAUGGGUGAAAAUGGAGGUAAAUUUGAAACCAUUGAUGCAAUGGCAUGUGGGGAUUGCAGUCUUUGAGCUUGUCCAAAGCUCCCAAUCAAGUUAUGUUACUGGUUCUCAAUAAAUCUCGCCAGCUGUGAUUGACUGAUCAGCCAUGGAAACCAAGAAAAGAAGGUUUAAGUUUGGUAGGUCAUUGUGAGAUGAUUAGAGAAGCAUAUUAAUAAAGUAAUCUUUUGAUUUUUAGUUAAUUUGUGUUUCUGCGACGUGAUUUUUGUAAUCAUUCAGAAAUGGAUUUGUUUUCAAUUAUUGAAUCUGUACUAAUUUUCUUUAUUUUUUUUUACUUCAUUUUAAAAACUUUCUGUAAAAAAUUUUGAGAAAUUUUUUCAUGAAUUAAAAAUUUUGUUUAGAUGUGUUAAUGGGUUGAAUUCUUUGUCAAUGGUUUGUGAUUGUUCAUUGCUCAGUUUGGAACUUCAAUUUGUAAUUUGUCCAUGGUUGAUAGAGAUUUGAUGUUGAGAAGAGACAAAGAGAAUGAGAUAGCGAAGGAAGGAGGCUGAGAGGAUUGUUACAGAGUGAGAGAUACAGUGGGUGGGGUAGGUGAGGUGUAACAUGGGCAUUUUCAUAGUUACUAAAGACGCGCCUCAGCUCAAGACUUACCAGGCUCCAACCCUAGUGCCUUUACAGGAAAAAGGCAAGCGACAUUCACCAAGCCCUCGCCUUAU